AUAACUUCCCGGCCUCCGGGCUAAGAUCAUCUGUAGUAUCUGUUCGUAUCAGUUUCAUAUUAGAUAGUUUUAUAUUAGAUGGGUGGGUUACUUACUGGUCACACGAUAUUAAAUUAAGUUUUUCUAGGGAUGAGCCCAUCACAGUAGCUAGCUACUAGCCCAUGCAUGGCACGCCCCACCCAUC
rfam:Populus trichocarpa isolate Nisqually-1 chromosome 8, whole genome shotgun sequence.